rnacentral:rRNA from 1 species
CCUACGGGAGGCAGCAGUAGGGAAUCUUCCGCAAUGGACGAAAGUCUGACGGAGCAACGCCGCGUGAACGAUGAAGGCCUUCGGGUCGUAAAGUUCUGUUGUUAGGGAAGAACAAGUGCUAGUUAAAUAAGCUGGCACCUUGACGGUACCUAACCAGAAAGCCACGGCUAACUACGUGCCAGCAGCCGCGGUAAUACGUAGGUGGCAAGCGUUGUCCGGAAUUAUUGGGCGUAAAGCGCGCGCAGGCGGUUUCUUAAGUCUGAUGUGAAAGCCCCCGGCUCAACCGGGGAGGGUCAUUGGAAACUGGGAAACUUGAGUGCAGAAGAGGAAAGUGGAAUUCCAAGUGUAGCGGUGAAAUGCGUAGAGAUUUGGAGGAACACCAGUGGCGAAGGCGACUUUCUGGUCUGUAACUGACGCUGAGGCGCGAAAGCGUGGGGAGCAAACAGGAUUAGAUACCCUGGUAGUCCACGCUGUAAACGAUGAGUGCUAAGUGUUAGAGGGUUUCCGCCCUUUAGUGCUGAAGUUACGCAUUAAGCACUCCGCCUGGGGAGUCGGUCGCAAAGCUGAAACUUAAGAAUUGACGUUGAGNGNGNGCGAGCGACGACGACGGAGAGGAG